rnacentral:misc_RNA from 1 species
CACGGGGUAACAAAUGUGAGAUGAAUGCUGGUCAGUUAUCUGUUGUUAUCCUCUUCUUCAUGCCCAGUCUGUGUGCCCCCCCUGGGGCUGGCUCUGUGGCCGUGGAUAGCAAAUGCGCCUCUGCGAGUCCAGAGCACCAGCGUCCUAUCGUGCUUCCCAGUAUUCAAGAACGCUGUGGGAAGAAGCAAGCAAGCAAGCAGCAACCCCAUGGAGGUGGAGUCGGCUCUGCGAUGCCAUGCCACCCAGCUCCACGUGCAUCAGGUACAAGAAUCUGGGGGAUAUUUGCCUAUCCGCGACCAGCCUUUGCCUGAGAGGCAGGGGACCAUGGCUGCCUGCCUGAUGAGCACGAGGCACGAGCAGCAGCAGCCGCCGGCCGGCCAGCGGCCAGGCUUUUGACGCACUGGAUGCAGGCUGGCCAAAGGACUGACACCAGCUCGAUCAGCUGACCGGCAUCCAUCCGCCCG